GAUGAACGCUAGCGGCAGGCUUAACACAUGCAAGUCGAGGGGUAUAGAAAGCUUGCUUUCUAGAGACCGGCAAACGGGUGCGGAACACGUACACAACCUACCUUUAUCAGGGGGAUAGCCUUCGGAAACGGAGAUUAAUACCCCAUAGUAUUAUGGAGUGGCAUCAUUUUAUAAUUAAAGAAUUUCGGAUAGAGAUGGGUGUGCGUAAGAUUAGCUAGUUGGUGAGGUAAAGGCUCACCAAGGCUUUGACGGGUAGCCGGCCUGAGAGGGUGACCGGUCACACUGGGACUGAGACACGGCCCAGACUCCUACGGGAGGCAGCAGUGGGGAAUAUUGGACAAUGGGCGGAAGCCUGAUCCAGCAACGCCGCGUGAGGGAUGACGGCCUUCGGGUUGUAAACCUCUUUCAGUACCGACGAAGCGCAAGUGACGGUAGGUACAGAAGAAGGACCGGCCAACUACGUGCCAGCAGCCGCCGUAAAAC
rnacentral:rRNA from 1 species